UACGAGGGGGGCAAGCGUUGUUCGGAAUUAUUGGGCGUAAAGGGCGCGUAGGCGGUUUGACAAGUCUGAUGUGAAAUCUAUGGGCUCAACCCAUAGCCUGCAUUAGAAACUGUCGGGCUUGAGUAUGGGAGAGGUGAGUGGAAUUUCCGGUGUAGCGGUGAAAUGCGCAGAUAUCAGGAAGAACACCCGUGGCGAAGGCGGCUCUCUGGGACGGUACUGACGCUGAGACGCGAAAGCGUGGGGAGCGAACAGG
rnacentral:rRNA from 1 species